UGGGGGAUGAACCAAAGAUAAUUAAGCAUCAUAAUUUGAGGGUUUGCGGCUGUGAAAUAAGAGGAAAAAGGGCUGUUUGCUAUGUAUAUUUUGCACAGAGGAAAAACGGCAGCCAUUAUUUUCUGGGGAAAUAAAAUAAGUGUGGGGCGGAGGCAGAGAAGGAACAAUUGAGGUCAAACAUUGCAGCUGUUGGAUUGAUUUCCUAUACAGAGAAGCAAAUUGAAGAGAAGUUAUA
rnacentral:lncRNA from 1 species